CCCUAUGGGGUGACACUUGCUGGUCAUUUGGUGUCCACCCUUUAGGGUGUCUGAGGCGCCGCGACGUCCUAAAGGGUGGACACCAAACCGGUCUGGAUCGCCAAGAUGAGAAUGGCUGGGCGCAGCCGGUCCUGUCUUUACAGGCAGGUACGGGUUGUGCACGUUUGGAGUGGCAAUCCGAACCCUAUGCGCUCCAAGAUGAAAGCCCUCUGCACCUUCCUGCUCGCCGUAUCACUCGUCACCGUGGGCCAGGCAGCCGGCCGCGCCGCCAAACUGGGGAAGGGAUUCGCCCGUCCGCCGGCCUCGGCCCGUCCGUGGGUUUACUGGUUCUGGUUGAAUGGGAAUGUGACGAGCAACGGGAUCACCGCGGACCUGGAAGCCAUGCAGCGGGUGGGAAUUGGCGGGGGAGC
rnacentral:rRNA from 1 species